rnacentral:rRNA from 1 species
GGGGGGGGUCAAGCGUUGUUCGGAAUUACUGGGCGUAAAGCGCGUGUAGGCGGUCCUGCAAGUCUUUCGUGAAAUCCCACAGCUCAACUGCGGAACUGCGAGGGAAACUGCAGGACUUGAGUCCGGGAGAGGAGAGUGGAAUUCCCAGUGUAGCGGUGAAAUGCGUAGAUAUUGGGAGGAACACCGGUGGCGAAGGCGGCUCUCUGGACCGGUACUGACGCUGAGGCGCGAGAGCUAGGGGAGCAAACGGGGGAUUAGAUACCCCGGUAGUCCUAGCCUUAAACGAUGAGCACUUGGUGUGGCGGGUAUCGACCCCCGUGCCGUGCCGAAGCUAACGCAUUAAGUGCUCCGCCUGGGGAUACGGUCGCAAGGCUG